CGUUUCUAUCUACAAUGUUCAAUCCCAACUUUUCUGAGUCCUAGUACGCAAGGAAUGGUCUCAGCGAUGCUCGACUAUAUUGGUCCCAUCGAUGUAAUCAACUUCUGGCUGCUGCAAAGAAGGAGAACAAAAAGUUUAGGGAUUAAUAAAGUGCC
rnacentral:rRNA from 1 species